AUGAAGAUCGUGCUGUGGCGAUUUGCUCACAGCUGCUUGCCUUCGGGUGAGCAAAUGCUUCGACGCCAGGUUCCGACGCGGACCGACUGUUGUUUCUGCGGCCGGCAGGAGAGUGUUGAACAUGCACUGCUGUUCUGUGUACACGCUCGAGCAGUUUGGGAUGUUCUCAAAGGGUCCAUGGGGAUCAAGCUGUCUCGAUCUUCCUUUGCGUCGCCGAAGCAGUGGUUGUUUGAUUUUCUCUCGCGCGGAUCCGAGCGUGAUGCUACUAUAAUGACUGUCAUCUUUUGGCAUAUAUGGGAGGCACGCAACUCUGCUAGGAAUGAACCUGAAGCUCCUCAUCCCCAACGCACGGCUGCAAGGGCGCGUGCUUACUUGGAAAUGAUCUUCCAGCACCUGUACAAGCCUACCUCUGCUUCCAGCUCUAUGUGGUCUCCGCCGCCGCCAGGUACGCUGUUGGUUUCUUCGGACGCUGCUGUUUCACGGGAGCUGGGUAAAUCUUGCGCUGGUGUGGUGGUUCUGGACCACUCCAGUCAAUGCAUAGCUGCUGCUUCUGAACUUCUGAAUGGUGUUACUGAUCCUGAAGUGGCGGAGGCUUGGGCUCUUCGACGGGCGGCGAGGUUGGUUCGAGAUGAGAACUACACUGAUGUGAUCUUUCACUCGGACUGCCUUUCUGUAGUGCAAAGGCUGAAUUCUUCAUCCCGUGACCGCUCCUUUGUGGGAUCAAUUGUUGCUGAUAUUAAGAUGACAACUGGAGCUCUUUCUGAGAUAACCAGAGAUAUUUUAGGACAAAGGCAGGGAGUGCCAUGGGGCGGCUGUACUAGUGAUGCUCUGGUUGAUGUACGACCAUCACCUACAAGAGAGAUUGAGAGAUUGAGGGUUCAGAGCAUGCCAUGGGGCGGCCGUUCAUCCAGCGAGACGAACGACGCCGACGCAUCUAGGGACUAUGCCGGAAGCGGGAGGCACGAUCCGGGCGGCAGCGAAUGGGGCGUCGGCCGCUCUGCGUUUUCUCCUUAUCUGUUCGAGCGUGGGAAACAAAAAGGGGCGUGA
rnacentral:rRNA from 1 species